rnacentral:rRNA from 1 species
UACGUAGGGGGGCAAGCGUUGUCCGGAAUCAUUGGGCGUAAAGAGCGCGUAGGCGGUCCGGUAAGUCGGUUGUGAAAACUGGAGGCUCAACCUUCAGAGGUCGACCGAAACCAUCUGGCUAGAGUCCGGGAGAGGAGAGUGGAAUUCCCGGUGUAGCGGUGAAAUGCGCAGAUAUCAGGAGGAACACCAAUUGCGAAGGCAGCUCGCUGGGACGUGACUGACGCUGAGACGCGAAAGCGUGGGGAGCGAACAGG